UACGUAGGGGCGAGCGUUGUCCGGAAUUACUAGGAGUAAAGGGCAGGCAGGCGGAUCCAUAAGUUUAUCGUUUAAGGCGUCGGCUUAACCGGCGUAGGGCGGUAGAUACUGUGGAUCUGGAAUGCGGUUGGGGAAGACAGAAUUCCUGGUGUAGCGGUGGAAUGCGCAGAUAUCAGGAGGAACACCGGUGGCGAAGGCGGAUCUCUGGGCCAUUACUGACGCUGAGGAGCGAAAGCGUGGGGAGCGAACAGGAUUAGAUACCCGGGUAGUCCCUGAG
rnacentral:rRNA from 1 species